AGUGAACGCUGGCGGCGUGCUUAACACAUGCAAGUCGAACGAGAACGGGUUAUAGCUUGCUAUAAUUGUCAGCUAAGUGGCGCACGGGUGAGUAAUGUAUAGGUAAUAUGCCUCUUACUAAGGGAUAACAAAUGGAAACGUUUGCUAAUACCUUAUACUCCUUAUUAACAGAAGUUAAUAAGGGAAAGAUUUAUUGGUAAGAGAUUAGCCUGUAUUGUAUCAGUUAGUUGGUGGGGUAAUGGCUUACCAAGACUAUGACACAUAACUGGUUUGAGAAGAUGAUCAGUCACACUGGAACUGAGACACGGUCCAGACUCCGACGGGAGGCAGCAGUGGGGAAUAUUGCACAAUGGACGGAAGUCUGAUGCAGCAACGCCGCGUGGAGGAUGACACAUUUCGGUGCGUACACUCCUUUUAUAUGAGAAGAUAAUGACGGUAUUAUAUGAAUAAGCACCGGCUAACUCCGUGCCAGCAGCCGCAGUAACAC
rnacentral:rRNA from 1 species